rnacentral:lncRNA from 1 species
GGCGGUUUGGCGGGGGAUGGGUGCUUGAGGUGGUCUGACCGGUAGCGGGGGUCGCCUUCCCUAGCGGGAAGUCGGGAGCAUAUCGUUUGUUACGCUGGAAGGGGAAGAGCAUCUGAGAUUAAAUAUUAAUCUCCAAACCUUAGGCCCCCUCACUUGCAUCCUUACGGUCAGAUAACUCUCACUCAUACUUUAAGCCCAUUUUGUUUGUUGUACUUGCUCAUCCAGUCCCAGUCCCAUUGGCUUUCUCCUCACCUGUUUUAGGUAGCCAGCAAGUCAUGAAAUCAGAUAAGUUCCACCACCAAUUAACACUACCCAUCUUGAGCAUAGGCCCAACAGUGCAUUUAUUCCUCAUUUACUGAUGUUCGUGAAUAUUUACCUUGAUUUUCAUUUUUUUCUUUUUCUUAAGCUGGGAUUUUACUCCUGACCCUAUUCACAGUCAGAUGAUCUUGACUACCACUGCGAUUGGACCUGAGGUUCAGCAAUACUCCCCUUUAUGUCUUUUGAAUACUUUUCAAUAAAUCUGUUUGUAUUUUCAUUAGUUAGUAACUGAGCUCAGUUGCCGUAAUGCUAAUAGCUUCCAAACUAGUGUCUCUGUCUCCAGUAUCUGAUAAAUCUUAGGUGUUGCUGGGACAGUUGUCCUAAAAUUAAGAUAAAGCAUGAAAAUAACUGACACAACUCCAUUACUGGCUCCUAACUACUUAAACAAUGCAUUCUAUCAUCACAAAUGUGAAAAAGGAGUUCCCUCAGUGGACUAACCUUAUCUUUUCUCAACACCUUUUUCUUUGCACAAUUUUCCACACAUGCCUACAAAAAGUACUUCUCUGCUCAAGUCACACUGAGUUGAUUGCUAUUUACCGAAAUCAAAGUAACAUUAUCAGAUCUCUGUAGGGUGGUUCCCUCUGGAAUGCUACCCUCCAUAGUCCUUACCCUUCAAGUAAAGAGCAUGAAGACUGAAAUAUCUCUGUGAUCUGUCAUCCUUUAAGCCAGAAUCCCCCAUAAAAAAGUUAGUAUUGCUUUCUCCUGAUCCCAUAGCAGGUUGAAUCAUAGCACUUAUCAGGUUGUUGUCAUUGCUUGCUUAAAUUCUCCUAACUAUUUGGAGCUUCUUGAGGGCACAGGUUCUUGUUGAGUCUUGUACCUAAGCACCUAGUAUAGUCCUUGAUGUCUAGCCAACCCUAAAUAAAAUGCAGUGAGUGACAUGUAGAUGUCUUUAUAAGGUUUGAUAGGUUGGUCUCUCAAACAGUUCUUUUGUAUGUUUGGUAGUGCUCUAGAUUAGCACUGGCCAGUAUAACUCUGAUGAUGGAAAUGUUCUAUAGCUAUGCUGUCUAAUAUGGUAGUCACUACUAACAUAUGUUACUGUUGAGCCUUGGAAAUAUGGCUUUUGUGACAAAACUGAAUUUUUCAUGCUAUGUAAUUUAAGUCUAAAUUGCUACUGUGUACAUUGUGGCUGUAGCCACAAAUUUGUGCUGUGGAUUGCAGAAUAAUUAAUAUGGACAUUGAUAAUUUUCUUUUCAUACUAAGCAGUAAGGAAAGAAAAGUUGAAACUCUGUGGUCCAUUUAGGUUAUAUGUGUAUUUGUACUUGAUUGGUUUGUUUGAAUACCUAUUUCUAUACUUUAGCUGAGAGCUAAAGCCAACAAACCAGUACUGUAGAUAACCUGCUUUGGACAACAAUGUGUUGACUAGUUGGAUUUCAUCAAAGAAUGCCUAAUAAAUUUUAAGAAAAUGAGAUUUCAUUAAACCAUAAUACUGACAUAAGUUUAGGGAAGAAUCAGACUAUAUCUGGUGUUUGUGAAACUACCCCUGAAUUUCAGUCCUACAAAGUUUUCAGUUUUGGAAAAACUUUCAUCAGAGAGGGCACUAAGUUACAGGAAGCCAUCACAAAGUAAGUUUUCAUCUGAUGAAUUAUAAAUUUAAGAUAUAUUUUAAUACCAAAAUUCUUUAUGGUUUAUGUGCUAACUUAAAAUUUCUCCUUAAAAUAUGAGAACUAAGUACACAAUUGUACUUGGCUGUUUAAUGCGGAUUCCCAGUCCCUCACACAGAGAUUCUCAAUUAAGAUUGGAGAGCAGGGGUUACUAGAAUUCUUUUUCAGGUUCCUUAUAUGCUUCUGAUUUGGUGGCCUAGAAAUCACAAUGCUAGUGCAGCCCUCAUGGGGCUACAGUAUACGUAUCUGAAACAUGAUUACAUCAGGGAAACUGUAUGUCUAAUCUACUUUGUCCCUAAAGGAAGCAUUUUGAAAGGCAGAAAGUAAUAUGUGAUAGUUUUUGAAACUUGUAGGUCACAUUGUUUUUAAAAGGGAUCCAAGUAAGUUUUUUUUUCUUUUGAGGGCUACACCUGUGGCACAUGGAGGUUCCCAGGCUAGGGGUUAAAUCAGAACUGCAGCUGCCAGCCUAUGCCAGAGCCACAGCAAUGCCAGAUCUGAGCUGUGUCUGCAACUGUGUAGCUCACAGCAACGCUGGAUCCUUAACCCAAUGAGCAAGGCCAGAGAUUGAACCUACAACCUCGUGGUUCCUAGUUAGAUUUGUUUCCGCUGUGCCACGAUGGGAACUCCAAGUAAUUUUUUUUUGAGCAAGGAAGUUACCUUUUUUGUCUGUUUUCCCACUAAAUGCAUUCCUCAAGGAUUCCCAGUUUGUUCUUGAUUCCUCAGUGCCUUAACACAGACCUGGGUUCUCAGUAAAUGUUGAUUUUAUUGAUUUAUAUGUGA